GGGAUCAUGGUAAGAGGACCAGAGCUGGGUGGAGGUGGCCGACCUUUUGUGACUGGGGCCUUCACGGUUUUCAGGAGCCCCUGAUGAGAGUGGAGCUGAAAAAAGAAGCAGGACUGAGGGAGCUGGCCGUGCGACUGGGCUUCGGGCCCUGUGCAGAGGAGCAGGCCUUCCUGAGCAGGAGGAAGCAGGUGGUGGCCGCGGCCUUGAGGCAGGCCCUGCAGCUGGACCUGCAGGAGGAUGAGGUUUGGGGGCUGGGCUGGACGGGGUGUCCCUGGGCUUGCUUGGGCCUAGCUCCUGGUGCUGAACACUGGAGCUGCUUGUCCCCGAUCUAGACCAGAGCUCGUAGCUGCCUGUCCCCACCCUGCUUCCUCCCACCUGGUGUUAGCAGGGACUUGGUACAGGCAGAGUGUUGCUUGAGGCACCUGGAGCCCACAUGGGAGCUACCUCAUAGGGCUGGCUUUCCUACUCUGUUUCUUGGUUCUCAGCCUAGCCUGUCUGAGGAGGGAGACAGAUAUCUGGUAUGAGGCCUGUUGGCCCAGGGUGCUUCAGGA
rnacentral:lncRNA from 1 species